rnacentral:rRNA from 1 species
GACGAACGCUGGCGGCGUGCUUAACACAUGCAAGUCGAACGGAAAGGCCCUGCUUGCAGGGUACUCGAGUGGCGAACGGGUGAGUAACACGUGGGUGAUCUGCCCUGCACUUCGGGAUAAGCCUGGGAAACUGGGUCUAAUACCGGAUAGGAGCCAUUUUUAGUGUGAUGGUUGGAAAGUUUUUUCGGUGUAGGAUGAGCUCGCGGCCUAUCAGCUUGUUGGUGGGGUAAUGGCCUACCAAGGCGGCGACGGGUAGCCGGCCUGAGAGGGUGGACGGCCACAUUGGGACUGAGAUACGGCCCAGACUCCUACGGGAGGCAGCAGGGGGGAAUAUUGCACAAUGGGCGCAAGCCUGAUGCAGCGACGCCGCGUGGGGGAGGACGGCCUUCGGGUUGUAAACUCCUUUCGCUAGGGACGAAGCUUUUUGUGACGGUACCUAGAGAAGAAGCACCGGCUAACUACGUG